GUAAGACCUCUCCUGCUGAUGCCACAACCUCUUUCUUGCUUUCUCUUGCCCUGGGCAGCAUAACCCAGAGCUUCGCCCGGCUUCCUGGAUGGAAGAGAGCGUGUGGGCAGAAAGCAAAGGGUGACGCAGCCACCCCAUACCAGCAGCCCCCAUGGACCAGGGCACAUACAGCGAUGGAUUCAGCCAGCUGGAGAGCCUCCUCCUGUACUCCUUCCUGGACAACUCCCAAGACUGUGCCUUCAAGGAGAAGCUGCAGACUCUGAGCUGCAGACACACACCCCAGUGCGUGCCCCAUAGAAGAGACUUCCAUUCUUUUUCUGAUGAUGGAGAGCUUCAAACAGACGGGAACCGUAGCGGCCAUUUCCAAAAUGGCGAGCCAGGUUCUGAGACGGGGGAAAUUUACCGAAUCAUUGGCGCUCAGCUGGCUGAGAUUGGGGACCAGUUGGCUGCUGAGAUGCAGGCGGGACCAGUAGAUGAUCUUGUGCAGCAGUUCCUGAAUGCAAAUCUCUCCAGUGAGGAAAUAACAAGGUGUCUGUCUCAGAUGGUGGAACAGGUCCUGAAAUCCAUCCCCUUAGACAUGGACCAGGAGAAAGCCAAGCUGGUGCUGGCAAUGGUUUUAGCCAAAAAAGUAGUGAACAACGUGCCAUCCCUCCUACACCGGGUCUUCAGCACCACUGUGAAUUACAUGAACCGGUACCUCCAUGACUACAUCCAUAACAUCAUCUGAUAGGAUAAUGAAAAUGGGUUGCGGGGAGGACUAGAUCACAGACAGCAAUGAAGCAUUGGGAGCCUGCCUUAAACCUAAACUCUGCCCUUUCCACAAAGAGAGCUGAAUGAGACCUUGGUGCCAUCCACAGGCUUGGAGAGGGUUACAGCCUAGAACUCUAAAGGACUCAAGGACCAUUCUUUGUGAUGCGGUUGAGACAUGUCAAUAGAAACCCAUUAUUCUGUUUUUAGACUUUUAUAGAGUAGCAAAACAGCACCAGUAGUUUUAGCUGCAUGAUUGUUCUGCUAGUCUGAGACAUGUAAGAGUAAUGCUUGCCCUUACUUUUAAUACUUGGUAAGAAAGAAUUAAAAACAAUGCUUUUUACAACAGAGACUCAGUGCAGGUGAAGAUCUUUGUAUCUCAGGAAAAAAUGCCAGUUGGUAUCAUGCUCAGGUGUUCCUUGAAGCUGAAACUAGCCCAAAUCCUGUGCACGAGGGGAGGAUGGAUGUGUGUGAAGUCUCAGCACAUUUCCAAUGCAGUGCCAAUCAUCUGGGCUCUAAGUAGCUGCAUCAUCCUGACCCGAGGUGGGAGUGAGCAGCUAUGCUGCAAAGCCUUUCCCAGGCCCUGUUUUUUCCUGAUGUUUUACUCCCCUGUGUGUGUUAUGAGCUUGUGCAGAUAUUCUCUGCCGCUGGAGCAAUUGGUGUUUCUCUUUUACCCACAAAUUGUGCCCAGAUAAACUAAACUUCCCAAUCAAAGGAGAAGCAGAUUAUAAAGUGGUCAGACUGUAUCAGGGAGUGAACUAAACUGGGUAUACUUGAGCAGAACACACUUCAGCUUUAUGUGUAGCCAGUUACUAUAAAGAGAAGGAAACUAGGAGGUUGGCAGCUUCUUUUCAUCCUGUUAAGCACCUCUGCUCAGCUUACCGGGAAGGCACUGUCUCACCCUGAAGUAGUUCUCUGUAAGCCAGGCCAAUACAUCUACACUGCCUGUAAAUACUGUCUUUAAUUUUAACUUAAAAAUAAAAUUGUCAGCUCUGCUAUAAA